rnacentral:rRNA from 1 species
CUCUNUGGUCUGUCACUGACGCUGAGGCUCGAAAGCGUGGGUAGCGAACAGGAUUAGAUACCCUGGUAGUCCACGCCGUAAACGAUGAGUGCUAGGUGUUAGGCCCUUUCCGGGGCUUAGUGCCGGAGCUAACGCAAUAAGCACCCCGCCUGGGGAGUACGACCGCAAGGUUGAAACUCAAAGGAGUUGACGGGGGCCCGCACAAGCGGUGGAGCAUGUGGUUUAAUUCGAAGCAACGCGAAGAACCUUACCAGGUCUUGACAUCCCGAUGCUAUUCUUAGAGAUAGGAAGUUACUUCGGUACAUCGGAGACAGGUGGUGCAUGGUUGUCGUCAGCUCGUGUCGUGAGAUGUUGGGUUAAGUCCCGCAACGAGCGCAACCCUUAUUGUUAGUUGCCAUCAUUAAGUUGGGCACUCUAGCGAGACUGCCGGUAAUAAACCGGAGGAAGGUGGGGAUGACGUCAAAUCAUCAUGCCCCUUAUGACCUGGGCUACACACGUGCUACAAUGGUCGGUACAACGAGUUGCGAGCCGGUGACGGCAAGCUAAUCUCUGAAAGCCGAUCUCAGUUCGGAUUGGAGGCUGCAACUCGCCUCCAUGAAGUCGGAAUCGCUAGUAAUCGCGGAUCAGCACGCCGCGGUGAAUACGUUCCCGGGCCCUGUACACACCGCCCGUCACACCACGAGAGUUUGUAACACCNGAA